CCCUUAGAUGUUCUGGGCCUCACGCGCGCUACACUGACGAUGGCAACGAGUUUUUCCUUCGCCGAAAGGUGUGGGUAAUCUUUUGAAACAUCGUCGUGCUGGGGAUAGAUCAUUGCAAUUUUUGAUCUUGAACGAGGAAUUCCUAGUAAGCGCGAGUCAUCAGCUCGCGUUGAUUACGUCCCUGCCCUUUGUACACACCGCCCGUCGCUACUACCGAUUGAAUGGUUUAGUGAGGACUCCUGAUUGGCGCCGCCGCCCCGGCAACGGAGCAGCGGACUGCCGAAAAGUUGUUCAAACUUGAUCAUUUAGAGGAAGUAAAAGUCGUAACA
rnacentral:rRNA from 1 species